rnacentral:misc_RNA from 1 species
ACGUAAUGUAUAGAGUGGCGCGUCCAAUGACCUUUGGGUCUGCGGAUUGUGUACUCUUACACGACGGUAUAUAACCCUUUACAAGUCGAGUCGCAGUAGAAGACUCGCACCUCGGUGGUUGGAGCGUUGUGGCCGGCCGCCGCUUAUCACAUACAUCUAUUAGUUCUGAGUGUAAAACCAUAAAUAAUA